rnacentral:rRNA from 1 species
UACGGGGGGGGCAAGCGUUGUUCGGAAUUACUGGGCGUAAAGCGCGCGUAGGCGGCUUUGUAAGUUAGAGGUGAAAGCCCGGAGCGUCAACUCCGGAACUGCCUUUAAGACUGCAUCGCUUGAAUCCAGGAGAGGUGAGUGGAAUUCCGAGUGUAGAGGUGAAAUUCGUAGAUAUUCGGAAGAACACCAGUGGCGAAGGCGGCUCACUGGACUGGGUAUUGACGCUGAGGUGGCGAAAGCGUGGGGAGCAAACAGGG